UACAGAGGUCUCAAGCGUUGUUCGGAUUCAUUGGGCGUAAAGGGUGCGUAGGCGGCGCGGUAAGUCGGGUGUGAAUCUCGGAGCUUAACUCCGAAACUGCAUUCGAUACUGCCGUGCUUGAGGACUGGAGAGGAGACUGGAAUUUACGGUGUAGCGGUGAAAUGCGUAGAUAUCGUAAGGAAGACCAGUGGCGAAGGCGGGUCUCUGGACAGUUCCUGACGCUGAGGCACGAAGGUCGGGGAGCAAACGGG
rnacentral:rRNA from 1 species